GCACCAAUGGCUUAACACAAUGGGAUUUGGCUUUUCACUCAUGUAAAUGACCAGUGCGGUUUUCUCUGGGGCAGAAUUUGAAUUUUCUCCCCAGGAUGACUCAGGGACACCCGCUUCCUCCAUUGUGCUCCCAUCAUGCCCUUGGGCAAUGGCGUCCCGUACUUCAAACAGCAAGAAAGAAGGAGAAACAGAAUAUAUCUGUGCACUUGCAAAAUUUGCUGACACAUGUCAUUUCUGUCCAGAAUUGUUGGCUAUAAAUAGUGUUAUGAACAGUCACACAAUGAUGCAACAAGACCAGGGAAAAAGUCCCUUGGUGGGGGUAGCCACUUCCCAGAGGUUCCAAUGCUUGCACUGUAAGGAACUCAUCAGGCCCAGAAGGCUCCCAGCCCCAGAGGUUCCCAGAGCUCUUCAGGUGGAAUGUUGAGUCUGCACAAGCCAGGAUGGUGACUCUGGAGAAGUUCUCCAGAAAAGAAUCAGCAUCUAGAGUCUCCUGAGUUCCAGGCCCUUAGAAAUUUAGACUCCAGAACCACUGCCAAAGUGACCCCCUCAGCCCAGCCCUUCGGUACCCAGCAUCCACUGUCCUCAGCCCAGCCCUUCCGUACCCAGCAUCCACUGUCCUGGUGGGAGUCCGCUGUGCUGCUCCAAGAAGACAGACCCUCACCAUUACCGGAAAGACUGACCCUCCUGUGUCCAGGUCCUGUGGCCCAGACUCAGCUCUGGAAGAGAAAUCUGGAUUUACAAUGCUCAGUACGUCGCUCAAAAUCUGCACUCGAUGACGUCUGUAAGCUCUUGGUCCCAGCCUGGGCUGCGAAGCCUGAGGCUUGGGCAGACAAUGCCGUCCCGCCGUCAUCUCUGCUCCCUCUUCGAUCGCUAAGCUCCCACAGCAUUGAUCUAACCAGACAUGGGCCCAGGGAGAGAGCUGUCUUCCCCACCUCCCAGCCCCAAUCCCUCAAUCCCUCGCCUGCCGUGCCAAGACUGGUCAAGGGAAAGUCCAGGAAGAAAGCAUGGUAAGGGGCACCGUGCUGCCUGCGCCCGCCCCGCUGUGCAGAAUGCAGAGGCUCAGGAUGCGGUGCGCAGAGACUCAGUCCCAACCGUCUUGUGGCUUCUUACCACGUAUCUCCCAGGAAGUCACCAUGAGGCUUAGUUCUUCCUUCCUGUGACUGGGGUAAAGGAGAGAACUGUCUCCUUGGACAUCAUCAUCCAUACGCCCGGCCCGAACGUCAUCUCUGACCCAAACACCAAAUCCAGACGGGCAACCACGGCUGUGGGGUGUGGAGGGGGAAUCUGAACACCAACCUGGAGGUCAGACUUGAAGGAGACGGCGACGCUGCCUUCGCCCCAUUCACAAUAUACAACCUUCGAUGGGCCACCUCCCCAGUGAGGCUUCAUCAAGGGGGCUUGGUCAACUUCCUUUUUGUGUGAACGAAAACAUACGUUUCCAGGCGCCUAUUAAGGGCUUGAGUCUGUGUCAGAGACGAGCCACACAAGUCAACGGACCUCACAGUCUAAUGUGGAGGGCACACCUCUGACUAUUCAAAAGUCAUAUAUAGCAUAUUAACCGUAGAUUUUAACAAAUUAGCCUUGAAAUACCUGCAGUUUGUCACAAUGGAAGGCUCACUUCUCACUGGGUGACACGUCCAUAUGGGGGCCCCCGGUUGGCAGUUGGAGCUCCUCCAUCAGGUGACUCAGGUGCCCAGAUUCUUCCAACUUUGGGGUCCAACCUCCCCUAGAACCUUGGAGUGCUCUGUUACCAGUGAGGGGAAAGAGGAAGAGAGAGUGGAAAGGGCUCAUCCGUGCCUUUUAAAUAAAAAAUCUGAAUGUGACCAGGCGCAGUGGCUCACGCCUGUAAUCCCAGCACUUUGGGAGGCCAAGGCAGGCAGAUCACAAGGUCAAGAGAUGGAGAC
rnacentral:lncRNA from 10 species